AUGCUCAGGCAAGCACUGCCCCGUGGCAGUGAAUCCAGGGAAGGCAGACAGCGGCCUCUGCCAAGGCAGGCAAUGCCGCUGGCAGCUGCACCCAGACAUGCAGCAGCUGCACAUACGGAACUUCCCAGAUUGACCACUCGCCUUACACCAGCCUCCAUGCGUUCUGCAAGCGGCAGUGACCGUGCCAUGGGAUCCACAGCUUGCAGACUGCUGGUGCUUGUUCCACGUCCUCAAGGCAGUGGUCAGCAGCAGGCUAUGGCAGCGAGGGCUGAGAACCGGCAGGCAGAUCUGCUAGUCCCCACGUCCCCCUUCCAACCAGCGCACCGAACACCCAAGUUGCUAAGGUUGGCAAAAUUGAGGCUGCCAGUAACCACAAUGCCAAAAAUUCAGCAGAAGCCAGUAGCCACCAGACCUAGACCCUGCCGGAAACCAGCAAGUCCAAGGCAGAGUGCACCCACCAGCACUGAGGAAACACCAGCAUCACCUGCCCCGGUGCUGGUCCACGAGGCUGGAAGUGGCCCCGCAGACAAGAUGCAACCAGAUCCAAGUGUUCAGGAGGAAACAAGAGAUGCUGACGGGGCUUCUGCCUCAUGCUCCACACCACCACAACAGGCAUCAGAUGAUGAUGCCGAAGCUACUUGCUACUUUUCGUGGGGCAUGCUGGUUUCCAGGGACACUGAAGAGAGGGUACGCGCCUGGAUCAUACAGCACAUGUUCCUGACCUGCUUACUUUGCACUUCCACUGAUGUUACAGUGUUGGACGUGCAGGAAGUGAAGAACGAAACCAGUGAGAGAGAUACUGCGAGCCCUCAGAAUGAGGCGGACAGGCUGGAGCUCACGGAGGCACUGCCCCAUGCCAGCGUCUCCUCAGAAGGGAGACAGCCACAGUCAACUUGUGGUGCAUCCUGUUUUGGUCCUGCGCCACCCGUCCAUCGUGCUAAAGCCUCACAAAAGUCAACUGUGUUGGCAUCUCGGAGGCGUCCAGUAGCUGCAAGACCAAAACCCAUCCAGAAAGCAGCAGGUCCACAACAAGGCGCACCCUCCCACACUCUGCUAGCACCAAGAACAACUGCCCAGGUGCAAGUCCCCGAGGCUGGGAGUGGCCCCGCAGAUAACAUGCCACCAGGUCCCAGUGCUCAAGAGGGCAGAAGAGACUGUGAGGAGGCUCCCACCUCAGAUUCCCACACAGCACAACAGAUAGUUCCCUAUUUGCCUGGCCCUUUCCAGGCUGGGCCAGUUGCCUUGCGCUACCGAUGGGUUCCACCCUCCUUAUUGAGAGUGCACGUGGAGCUGUCCUGCAGUCUUUGCAAAUGCAACUACACUGUUAAGAAGAAUGUCAAGAGGAACUGGAAGAUACCCCUGAAAGGGAUGAUGAAGAAGAGGAUGCCAAAGUCCCAAUGA
rnacentral:lncRNA from 1 species